UAUUCUGCCCCAUGGGGAAGGAUGAGAAGCUUCGACUAAGGUUCGACUCGAGCGCAGCGAGAGAACGUUGCCGCAGGCAACGGCCCGAAGGGCGAGGCGCUUUAGCGCCGAGUAAUCCUUCCCCCACCAC
rnacentral:sRNA from 1 species